AGUGAACGCUGGCGGUAGGCCUAACACAUGCAAGUCGAACGGCAGCACAGUAAGAGCUUGCUCUUACGGGUGGCGAGUGGCGGACGGGUGAGGAAUACAUCGGAAUCUACUUUUUCGUGGGGGAUAACGUAGGGAAACUUACGCUAAUACCGCAUACGACCUACGGGUGAAAGCAGGGGAUCUCCGGACCUUGCGCGAUUGAAUGAGCCGAUGUCGGAUUAGCUAGUUGGCGGGGUAAAGGCCCACCAAGGCGACGAUCCGUAGCUGGUCUGAGAGGAUGAUCAGCCACACUGGAACUGAGACACGGUCCAGACUCCUACGGGAGGCAGCAGUGGGGAAUAUUGGACAAAGGGCGCAAGCCUGAUCCAGCCAUACCGCGUGGGUGAAGAAGGCCUUCGGGUUGUAAAGCCCUUUUGUUGGGAAAGAAAAGCAGCAGGUUAAUACCCCGCUGUUCUGACGGUACCCAAAGAAUAAGCACCGGCUAACUUCGUG
rnacentral:rRNA from 1 species